GAGGGGUGGUCGACCGUCGUAGAAACUCAGAUGGAGUCUGGUUAUCGUAGAAAUCACGUCGUCGGGGAAGCUCGGAUGCUGGCGAAGCCCGAAAGAAGUUCUGGGUAGAAACUCAGGUGGUCGGUUGCCGUAGAAGGUUGGCAGACAGUGAGUCCCAGAGGACCUUCAGGGUGGCCCGAUGGACGAAUGCAGAAGUUCAUUGUCGGAGAAGUCCGGAUGAUCGAGGAGGUUCGGAGAAGUGCCACGCAUAAGGUCAG
rnacentral:lncRNA from 1 species